AUUGAACGCUGGCGGCAGGCCUAACACAUGCAAGUCGAGCGAGCGGCGGACGGGUGAGUAAUGUAUGGGGACUGCCCGAUAGAGGGGGAAAAUUCCUGGAAAGGGUGCCAAAACCCGAUAACUAUCGGUGACCCCCUAUGGGAUUAGCUAGUAGGUGGGGUAAAGGCUCACCUAGGCGACGAUCUCUAGUUGGUCUGAGAGGAUGAUCAGCCACACUGGGACUGAGACACGGCCCAGACUCCUACGGAGGCAGCAGUGGGGAAUAUUGCACAAUGGGCGCAAGCCUGAUGCAGCCAUGCCGCGUGUAUGAAGAAGGCCUUAGGGUUGUAAAGUACUUUCAGCGGGGAGGCGUUACCCGCAGAAGAAGCACCGGCUAACUCCGUGCCAGCAGCCGCGGUAAUAC
rnacentral:rRNA from 1 species